UUGAGCCCAGGAGUUCGAGACCAGCCUGAGCAACAGAGUGAGACCCUGUCUCAAAAAAAAAAAAAAGAUACCAAAAGCAGCAUGAAUUUACUCAGUGUCACUGAGCAGUACACUUAAAAAAGGUCAGAGUGGUAAGUUUUAUGUUACAUAUAUUUUACCACAAUAAAAAUAUACUUUGCUUCUUAAAAAUUGCCAAUGACCUCAAAGAAAUUAAAAUACCCCAGACCACAGCCCUGCACCUCGGGCUCAGGAGGGAGCCUGAACCCCACCAAGGACUCUCCACACGGUGGCGCCAGUGAGGCAGGUGUCCUGCUCCGCUCGGGUGAGGCUAGAUUUGGGGGGGGCCGUUCUUCCAUGUCUUUCCUGCCCCAGAAGGUCCCUGAUCCAGGAGGAAGGUCCAGAAAGGCGCUGGCGUCCCCCAAGCCCUGAGGAACCCAUGGAUGCGCGACUGUUCUCGAGUGCACCGGUCCAUUCGGGUAAGUUUGAGAUUCUGGGGCCUGGCCACGGCCAUGUCACCUGUGUCUCCUCUUUCCUGUCUCCAGGGAUCUUAGGGAAGUUGGGCUCCAGGUGGUCACAUGCCACUCGGUCCUCAACGUGGACGUCGGGGCAUGUGCUGUGGUCUGAGCGUGUCCCCAAAGUUCACACGCUGGAAACUCCACGCCAGGGCAACAGUGCGGAGAGGCGAGCAGGAGGAACCUGACCAGGUCCAGGUGCCACUGGGACACGGCUGCUGUGAGAAGCCCAACCUCAUAGACGUGAGUUGACUGAACAUGCGAUCACACGGGGAAUGCAGUCAGACCUGAGAGCUUAAUUAACUGAGAUCCUGGUGGGACCCGGCCUCAGAGGAGAGGCGACGUCCAGUGCUGGGUGUGAGAGGAGGAGCAACCGCAUAAAUGUCUGACCUGACAGACAGGAGUGGGCUCGGCCGGCUGUGAUCCAGGAGGCGGGGUCGGCCCCAGCUCCCGCUGGCUGCCGGUGACAGGUGAUGAUCUUCAGUUUUUCGAGGAUAAGGAAAAUACCACAGCGAAUGAAAAACGUCUCGUGCUUGGCCAGCGCCUCGGUCAGCAGGAGCAGGUUGCCUUCGCUGGCGAUGGAGGGAAGACGCCACAGCCACAAAACAAAAUCCCGGAAAGAGCGCGUCAAAAACCAGUGACUUCUCACACACAUCAGAUUCAAAACACAGAAAUGAUUCAGUUUGUCGAGACAAACCCUACCGACCGCGCGGCACAGACCUGCCAGGAGUCUCGCGUGCUGACCGGCCACUCUGAGGGCAAGGCUGCGUGGACCUGCACUGCUGCUGAGGCUUGAAAGGCAAAGUGAGUGCGCGUGCCGCAGUGCCUUCCAGCCACCGAGUUGUGCCCGCCAGCAGCCCUGCAGGGCCGAGGUCAAGCAACAAGGAUUCAGCCGAAAGUCCGCACUAUCCCAGCUGCCAGAGCUGGACUUCCGCAGCCCAGACCCUGAGACGUGGACCCUUCCUACUGCCCAGGGCCGGGCCCAAAUCCCCAUGGAGGAUUCAUUAUCCUCAUCUGAAAAUGGAGACAUAAUAAUUCUGCUAUACCUACUUCAAAGGAUUAUGGCAAAAAAAAAAAAAAACCAUGAAAAAACACAAGAAGAAGUGCAUAGACAAGUACUUUGUAACUCAUACAAAUGCUUCAUUUAAGGUAACAUCCUUGCGGGUCUGACACCAGGAACAAUGACCUCUUCUGGAGACAUGUGGCAAAAGCAAACUCCAAGAAGAAAGAUUUGUCACUUGGGGUUUGCUUCUGUCUUCCGGGUACCCACCUGGGAGUGGAACUGCUGGGUCACAUGGUGAUCCUAUGUUUAACUUUCUGAGGAACCGCCAGGCUCUUCUGCCCAGCAGCGGCACCGGUUCACAUCCCCACCUGUGUCUGUCUGUGACCACAGCCUGCUGGUGGGUGCGAAGGGGCCGCACUUCAAGUGACGGGUGCGUGUGCACUGGUCACCGGCACCUGGUGAGGUGCGGCACCUUGUUAUGCACCCACUGGCCACUUCUGUCUCGCCUCUGGAAGAGUUUUCAAACCCUUUGCCAUUUUUAAAUGGGAUUAUUGGCCUUUUCACUAUUGAGUUGUAACAGUUCUUUAGAUAUUCUGAAUACUAGACCCUUAUCAGAUGUAUUAUUUGCAAUUUUUUUUCCCAUUCCGUGGUUGUUUUUCACUUCUUUGAUAGUGCCUCUGAAGCACAAAAGUUUUUAAUUUUGAUGAAGUCCACUUCAUCUAUUUUCCUGCUGUUGCUUGCACUUUUAGUAUUGUAUCUGAGAAACUGCUUACUGAUCGAAGGCCAGGAAGAUCAGUGCUGUGCAGAGAUAUGCAAUCUAACAAAACCUCUAGUAUUCAAUUUCAAUAUUCAAGUAUUUCUAGUCUUAAGAAACAUUUACUGUGGGGCAGGCGCUUUGACGGUGAAUGCGACGCGGCCUCACGCACUCUGCCCAUCAACAGCAGUCGCGCACCGGCCACCCCGUGGGUGAACGGGAGGUGCACUCCACUACCCGUGUUGAAGAAAGGAGAUUCCAUCCGCCGCGAGGCCACUGGAGAGAGGCCUCAGAGGAGGCUGAAAUCUCCAAAACAAGUGGAGACUGCGGAAGGGGAGUCGGGGCGGGCGUUCCGGGCAAAGGAAACCGCAUUCGCCGCAGGCCUCGGUGGGAAAGGGUCUCGGCCCGUCAAGGGACUUUCUGAAGCCCCAGCCCCGCCCCACUCACGUGUCACUGGCGCAGACACGGAAGCAGCUCAUCAGCAGCUCCGCGGCCUUCUCCAGCAUGUCCCCAGCUUUGCUUUUUCCUUUCUUCACCAACUGCUGAUCUGCCUAAAAGAAUAUAAAAAAUUUAUUUUUUAAAGAAAAAGCUGGUACAAUAAGAGUCAAAGUCCCAAAAGGUUCUAGAGAAAUUCUAGCAUGUACUACAGUAUUUUUAAAAAUUGAGAAGUCUAUACAUUGUCCCAAUCCUUCUGCAAAUCAAAUCUGUCUUCAGUGAGUCCAGCUCAAUCCGGCAGCAUCUGGAAGCCUCAGUGCAUUCAGCACCAUGCCCGCGAGAGGCUUUCUCCUGCCUCGGUCCCUGACCUUCCCGCCCAGGAACGGCCAGUCAGAACCCUGGAAACAAACAUCUCUGGGACAGUCACGUCACCACCGAGCCUGAGUCUCCCUCGAUACCCCUGCAGGUAGGAACAGCUGGCCCAACAUCUCCAGAUCUUACACCCCAAAUCAUCCACUGUAUCUGUUAUACACUGCACGGCGGCCACAAACCACAAAAGAUAUUGGACUAUCACGGUCUGGCACUUGUAGGCCUCUACGAAGUCGUGGUUCCCCACCGCAAACGUGCACCUGCAACAGAAACGUGGAGGCUGAGAGCCAGGGCGUCGGAACAAGCAUCGCCUGAUAAACACCCAGACAGCAUUAGCAGAUCGCACAGCUCACUCCAUCCCAGCCGCCCCAGUUCCCAACUGGUCCUGGAACCGAAGCUGGAAGCUCCCACCCGGCGGGAGGCAAAGGGUCAAGGCGGAAGUAACAAAUGACUGUUUGAACCAAAUCAGAGGCCUGCUGCUAUCCCAGAGACUGCUUCACCUGGUCUGAGGACUCUGACCAGGGACAGCAUGGGGAGGACAUCCCAAUGGCCAAAGAACAUGUGAAAGGCUCUAGACUCUGCCCCAACCACUACCCAUCCGCAAAAUGCAAUGAGCUACCUCCACGCACCCACCACAGCACCCACAAUUGAGAACACUGACAAUACUAAGUGUUGCCAAGGAUACAAAGUAGCUGGAAUGCCUGCACACUGGUGGUAGGGAUAAACUGGUACAGCCACUGUGGAAAAUUGUCAUUUCUACUAAAGCCAGCAAACGUCUGCUCUCUAACCCUGUGAUGCUACGCCCCAUGUCCACACCCAGAAGAAGCGGAGGCACGUGCCCCCAGGACACACACAGGAACCCAAGUCCUUCCCGAGUUUUCAACUGAGAGCAUUGACUAGGAAGGCUGACGCCACCUUCCCCAAAACUAACUUACGUGAUAAGGAAUCUGCCACUUAACUAUUCAACCCAACUACACAUGCCUUUACAUUUUGAAACAGUAACUCCCCUUGUAGGAUUUACCUUACAACUAGAAACAGAAGAUACCUGCGCUUGGUUACUCCUUCAGGGACUGCAGGUAAUCACAAGAUACUGGAAACAGGAGACCGGCUGAAUAAACUGGGAAACAGCUAUUGUAAGGCAUGCGAUGCAGCCAUUUUUAACGAUGAGGAAGAUCUCUGAACUGACGUGGAACAAUUUCCGGGAUAUAUAGUUAAGUGAAAAAAGCAAGCUGUAUGAAGAGUGUACGUAGAAUGCUGCCUCUCGACAGGGCAACGGAAGCAUGUGUGUUUAUGUCUUUGUGCUUGUGUGCCACAUAUAUUUCUCAAAAGCACAUACAGAGAAGAGAAGGCAGAAUCUAACGAAAACAGCUCUCUACAGAGGAGGUGGCAAAGAGAUGAAAGAGAGAAGGGGAGUUUCUGAGCACGUUUUUAAACAUACUGUUUAUUUAUGAACAUAUUCAAGAAAUACAAUAAAAAGGAAAGGCAACCUUACAACUGAAUACAAAUGGAAGAUAUGUAUCUAAUGUCAAAGGAGAGCAUAACCAUUAAAGAAAAAGAAUGUAAGUAAUUUCUGAACACAGAACUUCAUGGGAUUUGAGUGUCCUUAUUUUAAGGACACAAAGACUGCAAAAGAAAUCCUGAAUUUUACUUAGUAGACUCUGUUGGUAGUGGUGCUGGUGUCAUAAUUCCGAAACUGCUUUGUGGGUACAGUAAAUUUAUCAGAGUUGGGGACCACGGUCCUCAGUAUUCAAGAAAGGAAGAUACUAAAAUAGAACAAGGGAAAGUGAGAAUCCCACUGGACUAGAAUUGGAGGUAUGAGUAGGAACUUAAUGAUUCGUUUUAUCUUUGGCUGAAACCAUCUGAAGACCUCCAGGCUGUGGUCACAGGUUUUAUGCCUUCAUAGGAAAACCAUGGCCUUCCAGAGCCAGCCCUCAUGACCAAUUCCAUGUGAUACUGCAGGGUGCCACUCAAGGUCACAUCACGUCCCCACCUCCUAAUAUUUUCAAAGUCACAGAUGGCUGCAGUGUGACUUGAGUGCAAGUAGUAUGAAAACCCAUCACUAAACCCAGGCUUUCUCUUCACAGCCCUGACCACAGGUUUAGGAACUUCAUCCAAAAGGUAGAUGGAUGGAUACCAAGAGCCUUCACUGGCUUUGGGAAGGGGUUAGGUUUCCUCUUCAAAAUAACUGUGCUGGACACCUGUAGUCCCAGCUACUCAGGAGGCCGAGGCAGGAGGAUCGCGUGAGCCCAGGAGUUUGAGGUUGCA